rnacentral:rRNA from 1 species
UACGGAGGUGGCAAGCGUUGUUCGGAAUUACUGGGCGUAAAGGGCGCGUAGGCGGCGAUGCAAGUCGGAUGUGAAAACCCCGGGCUUAACCUGGGAACUGCAUCCGAAACUGCGUUGCUUGAGUCCUGGAGGGGGUAGUGGAAUUCCCAGUGUAGCGGUGAAAUGCGUAGAUAUUGGGAGGAACACCUGCGGCGAAGGCGGCUACCUGGACAGUGACUGACGCUGAGGCGCGAAAGCUAGGGGAG